AAAGAGCCUAAGCAUUCUAUGAGACAACUUGUGAAUUGCCUAUUUUACCCCUCUACAUAUUUUAUAUUAUACAUAGUUAUAAUCUAUUUAAUAUAUAUUUAUUAUAAACCAAAUCUCCUCUACCCUGCUAUAACCACGUUCCUCACCCAUUCAGCAACGUGUAUUAUCUAUGAACCAAAUCUCCUCUUCCACAUCACCAAUGAAUACGUAUUGCAUUAGAAUUCUAUUCCUCUUCCACAUGCAACGGCAUCCUCUUCUUCCUCGCCAAAACCCGCCCCCCUUCGGCUUCCGAUCUCGACGACGCGCUGCACAAGAGAAUCAGCAACGGCCUGCAAUUAAGUAGAGACGGAGGCACAAACCCUUUCAAACAACCAUAUAACGGUGGAGUUUUUCACCGCUGCUCUUAGUCUUUGUCUGGUCGCCGCCUCCCCUCUUCGAAGGCCGUUUGAGGUUAGUUUUGAUUCUCGACUGUGCUCAGUCAGGCCACACCAUCGCAUACAACCUCUUCGAAGACAACAUGGGUGGCCUCUCAGCUCCAUCACCACCAAAUACAAUAUAAUAGUAUAUGUUUUGAGAUAUUCAUGCUUUGCCGCCGCUCUGAGCCUCCAGUCCGCCGUGCUUCACCGCCGCUCUUAGUUUUUUUCCGGUCGCCGCCUCCCCUCUUCGAAGGCCGUUUGAGCUAAUGAGGUAUAUAGACAAAGAAAAAAUCUACAAAGGCAAAAGAAACGUAAACGAAAUGCAAGUGAUUUGAAUUGUUCAUUGCUACAUGAAUUGAAAAAUGUGUCUGAUUGCAUUCAUUGUGGUGCAAGAAGAUUUGAAUAUGAACCUCCUACUUUUUGUUGUGAUAAUGGAAAAAUUAAACUUGCAUUUUCUGAAGUUCCCCCGGAGUUGGAUGAAUUGUUUACAGCCCAGUCAGAAGAAGCUAUUAAUUUUCAGAAGGAAUAUUCGUGCUUAUAAUAGUAUAUUCUCAUUUACUUCGUUCAGUGUAAAAUUGGAUAAAUAAUUGGCAUCUUCAAGACGAGGAGUUUAUUCUUUU